UAGGGAAUAUUGCUCAAUGGGCGAAAGCCUGAAGCAGCAACGCCGCGUGUGCGAUGAAGGCCUUCGGGUCGUAAAGCACUUUUCUGAGAGAUGAGAAAGGACAGUAUCUCAGGAAUAAGUCUCGGCUAACUACGUGCCAGCAGCCGCGGUAAAACGUAGGAGGCGAGCGUUAUCCGGAUUCACUGGGUGUAAAGCGCGUGCAGGCGGUUCGGUAAGUUGGGCGUGAAAUCUCCUGGCUCAACUAGGAGAGGUCGUUCAAUACUACCGGACUUGAGAGUGGUAGAGGAAGAUGGAAUUCCCGGUGUAGUGGUGAAAUGCGUAGAUAUCGGGAGGAACACCAGUGGCGAAGGCGAUCUUCUGGACCAUUUCUGACGCUCAGACGCGACAGCUAGGGUAGCAAACG
rnacentral:rRNA from 1 species